UGAUUUGUUCUGGUCUUCUAUAUAUUUGAUGUUUUAUUGCUUGUAGUUUGUACUAUAUUCAAAAAUUCUGAUUGACUAUUUUAUAAUAUGUUUUUUUUGAGUUGUUUUUUGUUUUUUCAAUAUUUACUGUUAUCUUUCAAAUAUAUUCGUUAUAUUUUUUCUAUUAUAAUAUUGAGUUUUUAAAUCUCUCUUUUCUUGUUUGCUUUCAUAUUUUGUAAAUUUAAAUGAUUUUGUAUAUAUUCUAAUUGAAAUAAAAAAAGUAUUUUUCU
rnacentral:misc_RNA from 1 species